UGAUGGGACAGCGCGGGGCGGCUGCCGGCGAGCGCUACGCGGGGCUGCUGCCAGCCGUUGGGCUGCGCUGCGGCCGGGGCAGCGCGGAGGCGGCACGGGAGCGGGGCAGCUCGGCCGUCGGUGCCCGAAGGCUCGCUCUGCAGCGGCGCUACCGGGGAACUUGUUACAAACGAAGUUUCUCUGAAACCCAUGACUUCUGCCAGCAGCAAACCAGCCAUUAAUGUUAUUCUCACCAAAAUGCUCCCGGUCUGUCAGUGUGCAAUGGAUAAAUGUGGAGAGUCCAGUUUGGUCCAUCAAGAGGAUUCUCAAACUGAAUCAGAGCCAGGCAGUGAGUUUUGAUAUCUUUGCCACUUUUCAAGCAGUAAACAUGGAGCUAAACUGCUGAGCUCGUUAUUGGAGCAAUGCUUUGGCUCUUUGUAGAGAAAUCAA